ensembl:lncRNA
AAGGAACUUUGGAAUGGUACACUAUUUUAUUUAAAUAUUUGAGAGAUACACGGUUGAUAAACAGAAUAUAAGGUUACACAAAUAAGUUUUUUUUUUUUUUGUGUGUGUGUAUCACUAGAUAGUAGUUUUCCAUUCCAUCACCCUAGGUAUUCACACUCCAUCCCAGUAGGUGGCGGAAAUGCACCAAAAGCUGGUUUGCCAACCGCCAAUAAACAAUAAAGAAGAAGAAGAAGAACUUUGGAAUGCGGAAGUAAAGCGUGUCGUGGAGCAGCCAAUAGUUCCAAACACUGAUAGUUCCAGCGCUGAACUCCACACAUUUUCAAUGUUUCUGAAGCACGCUCGCUGUUCUGUCCAGCUUCAAUGAGCUUGACUGACUCAAGACCCAGUCUCCUCUGUGGCCUGUAACAUGGUUUGCUUCUGGCAAUGGAAUGCUCUCACCCAAAAAUUCAAGUAACUAUAGCAUUACUUACAGCUUCCCUGUAGGAAGUCAAGCGAGUUUCUUUGAAGACCGAACAUUCAAGGAAAAUUAACCUACCCUCUCUCAGGAUGUAAUGUUUAAUUAAAUGUUUUGUUGAAUGCAGUUGGUUGCCUUGUAUAUUUUUCACUGUUGACGUUCUUUCUUGACUUAAAACUGAACAGCUUCUGGCAUUCAUUGAUAUUCACUUGUUGUGCAUGUAUAUAUUUAUGUGAAUGUGUCUUAACAUAACUUUAGGAUGUUAAUAAUUAUGACCAUAGAAGCACAGAAAAAUAUAUAUAUACAGCACAUACUGUAAAUGUAUUAUACCUUAUCGGAGCAGUCCCCUUUUCCCCCCAAAAUUAAACGCACACAAAAAUUAAUUCAAUUCAAGGGGUUUUAUUGGCAUGAACGUUAUAAGAACGUUUCCAAAGCAUCAAAAUACAAUUUUCAAUACAAGCAAUAUAUACAGUUAUAUUAACAUUAACACAACUGGGUGAGGAACAGCCAAACUCAGCAAACAAGGUUGCUGAACACAGUUUACUGUGAAAAAAACAUAUACCACGGCAAGACUCAGCAACAAGACACAAGCCAGAUGUGCUGCUUCAGAUGUGCUGGCCGAGCUCUGUUGAAGAAGCACAAAGAAAUUGAGGACUGGUCAGCAGUGUCACCCAAAGAAACUUACUGCAGCAGAUGAAAGGCACAUCAUGCUUACUUGCCUUGCAAUCGAAAGAUGUCCAGCAGUACCAUCAGCUCAGAGCUGCAGAAAACUGUGGGACCCUAGUACAUCCAUCUAUCAUCUGGAGAAGUCUGGUCAGAAGUGGCUGGCCAAUUCCUAAGAAGAAGGUUUUAAGACAACUUUGAUUCACUUUUUUGAUCCAUUUCAAAUGUUGAUUAC